UGGGGAAUCUUGGACAAUGGGGGCAACCCUGAUCCAGCCAUGCCGCGUGAGUGAUGAAGGCCUUAGGGUCGUAAAGCUCUUUCGCCUGUGAAGAUAAUGACGGUAGCAGGUAAAGAAACCCCGGCUAACUCCGUGCCAGCAGCCGCGGUAAUACGGAGGGGGUUAGCGUUGUUCGGAAUUACUGGGCGUAAAGCGCACGUAGGCGGACCAGAAAGUUGGGGGUGAAAUCCCGGGGGCUCAACCCCGGAACUGCCUCCAAAACUAUUGGUCUAGAGUUCGAGAGAGGUGAGUGGAAUUCCAAGUGUAGAGGUGAAAUUCGUAGAUAUUUGGAGGAACACCAGUGGCGAAGGCGGCUCACUGGCUCGAUACUGACGCUGAGGUGCGAAAAGUGUGGGGAGCAAAACAGGAUUAGAUACCCUGGUAGUCCACACCGUAAAACGAUGAAUGCCAGUCGUCGGGUAGCAUGCUAUUCGGUGACACACCUAACGGAUUAAGCAUUCCGCCUGGGGAGUACGGUCGCAAGAUUAAAACUCAAAUGAAUUG
rnacentral:rRNA from 1 species